rnacentral:rRNA from 1 species
CACGUAGUUAGCCGUGACUUUCUCACAGGGUACCGUCACUGUCUUCUUCCCCUGCGACAACAGUUUACAAUCCGAAGACCUUCUUCCUGCACGCGGCGUUGCUGCGUCAGGGUUGCCCCCAUUGCGCAAUAUUCCCCACUGCUGCCUCCCGUAGGAGUCUGGGCCGUGUCUCAGUCCCAAUGCGGCCGAUCAACCUCUCAGUUCGGCUACAGAUCGUCGCCUUGGUGAGCCGUUACCUCACCAACCAGCUAAUCUGACGCGAGUCCAUCCAUAAGCGAUAAAUCUUUCAAAAUUCUAUGAUGCCAUAAAAUUUCAAUAUGCGGUAUUAGUCCUCGUUUCCAAGGAUUAUCCCCCUCUUAUGGGCAGGUUACUCACGCGUUACUCGCCCGUCCGCCACUUUCCACCCAACAGUUCACCCCGAAGGGAUCACAAAUGGGUUUCUCGUUCGACUUGCAUGUGUUAGGCACGCCGCCAGCGUUCGUCCUGAGCCAGGAUCAAACUCU